UUUUCUAGUGAGAGAAACUCCUCCUUCUCUCUAGCAAACCCAGCUUCUAGCUUUCCCCCUCCUCCCCCCCCCCCCCUUUCUUGCCAGAUCUAGAUCACUCCGAUCUGGAUCUUUGGCUUGAAAGUCGGGGGAGAUAUUUUUCCCUCUUCGCGAGGCUUAUCCCUACCCUUCUCGUGGUAGCUCCCUGCUGCCCCGACGGUGGCAAGUAUGCUUUCCCUUUUGUCUUUGCUUUCCUUUCCUUCCCAGAUCCCCUUUUCCAACCAUUCCUAAUCUUUAAUUUUCAGCAUACCCAUCUCUCUCUGUCUCAAAUCUCUGAUUCAUCAUGGUUAAGAUGCACAUCCUCCUCACCCAUCGGACUCCACUUCACUGAUUGCUCCUUGGUCCAUCGGAGCUCUGUCGUCGGCGUUGUUUGGAUUGUCUGUUUUAACGGGUUUUUCCCGUCCCUGCGCGUAAACCCGUUGAAUACGAGAUUUGGGUUAGGGAGAUCUUUCGAUGGGUUCUAUGCUGCUGUACUUGCACGGGAUUGUUUUGGUUGGACUCCAAGUCUUCGUCGGCAGAUAUGGUGACGUUUCUGUGUCACCUUUGGGCUUGGCUGGUGGCGGCGACGUCACUACGUCAUCUCUCUCCUGUUAGAUCUGCACUGUGGCUGAAGAUUGUAGGGCUAUUUGGUUUUGUUUGUUGGUUUUUAUUUGGGCCCGUUUUGGGUCAUUUGUUUGUAAUGGUGUUCUUAUUUGAAUAUAAGCAUACUUGACCCAAAAAAAAAAAAAAAAAUCUUUCUGGAAGCUUUAUCUUUCGGAACA